AUGAACGCUGGCGGCGUGCCUAAUACCUGCCAGUCGAGCGCACGGACGAGAAGCUUGCUUUUCUGAUGUUAGCGGCGGACGGGUGAGUAACACGUGGAUAACCUACCUAUAAGACUGGGAUAACUUCGGGAAACCGGAGCUAAUAUCGGAUAAUAUUUUGAACCGCAUGGUUCAAAAGUGAAAGACGGUCUUGCUGUCACUUAUAGAUGGAUCCGCGCUGCAUUAGCUAGUUGGUAAGGUAACGGCUUACCAAGGCAACGAUGCAUAGCCGACCUGAGAGGGUGAUCGGCCACACUGGAACUGAGACACGGUCCAGACUCCUACGGGAGGCAGCAGUAGGGAAUCUUCCGCAAUGGGCGAAAGCCUGACGGAGCAACGCCGCGUGAGUGAUGAAGGUCUUCGGAUCGUAAAACUCUGUUAUUAGGGAAGAACAUAUGUGUAAGUAACUGUGCACAUCUUGACGGUACCUAAUCAGAAAGCCACGGCUAACUACGUG
rnacentral:rRNA from 1 species